rnacentral:miRNA from 1 species
AUCUGCAUUUUAAUUCACAUGC